GUCCCAGCCGUAAACGAUGGACACUAGGUGUUGGUGGUAUCAACCCCGCCAGUGCCGUAGCUAACGCAUUAAGUGUCCCGCCUGGGGAGUACGGCCGCAAGGCUAAAACUCAAAGGAAUUGACGGGGGCCCGCACAAGCAGCGGAGCGUGGGGUUUAAUUCGAUGCAACGCGAAAACCUUACCAGGGCUUGACAUGACCAGGAAGUCGGCGGAAACGUCGGUGCCUCGCAAGAGGCCUGGCCACAGGUGUUGCAUGGCUGUCGU
rnacentral:rRNA from 1 species